UUUUUUUUUGCCUUUUCGAGGGCCGCUCCCACAGCAUAUGGAGGGUCCCAGGUGAUUCUAACGUAAAACUAAGACUGAGAGUAACUGCUCCAACCCUUUUCUUCUCAGCCCACCUUGUCUUGGUUUUCAGUUUACUGUGGAAGAGCCCUUCCUACAGAGCCUGAUGGAGGGCAGGAGAACACAAGUUCUCCCAUUUCUCUGCAGGGACCCCCCCUUCUCCUCCUGCCCACUAGUGUGAACAUCUACAGGAUUAAGCUGAUGAGGAAAAAUGAACUACAUUUUAAUGGUUAAUACCAAACACUGGAAUGACUUUGCAGAUAAAUCUAACCACAGAAGCAAUGUAUUUCCUUCUGGUCCUCAAUCAUCAAUUUUUUAAAAAUGAGGUUUUUGGGGAGGCUGUUUUCUAACUAUUUAAAGCGUUUCUUUAAAUUUUUAAGUGGGUUGGAAGUUAAAGAGAGAUCUUGAUCCCAUCACUGUUUUCAUCCACCCUCUAUCUCAGAGCUAAUCCCUACCCCGGGAACUCCAUAUGCCAAGAGGCCGCCAAAAAAGGAGAAAAAAAAUUAUGGUUAUUUUUAAGAACACAAAAACUGUAUAAAACUUUAUUUUAUUUUUAUGGCUACACCCACGGCAUAUGGAAGUUCCCGGGCCAGGGACUGAAUGUGAGCCACAGCUGUGACCUACACUGCAGCUACCUCAACACUGGAUCCUUUAAUCCACUCCUAUAUAAAAAUUUUAAAUAGUUUAAGUCCAUUAGAGUCUAAGUGACAGCCAGAGCCACCCAAUGGUAGGGCUAGGAUUAACAACUGGCCUUUCCUGAGUUCUGUGUUCUGGAUUUCCAUUGCAUAAGAAUGUGCCCAUGGAGUUCCUGUUGUGGCGCAGUGGUUAACGAAUCUGACUAGGAACCAUGAGGUUGCAGGUUCGAUCCCUGGCCUUGCUCAGUGGGUUAACAAUCCGGCGUUGUCGUGAGCUGUGGUGUAGGUUGCAGACGCGGCUUGGAUCCCUUGUUGCUGUGGUUCUGGCGUAGGCCGGCAGCUACAGCUCCGACUGGACCCCUACCUGGGAAGCUCCAUAUGCUGUGGGUAUGGCCCUAAAAAAAUAUAUAUAUACAUAUAUAUUCCUCAAGGUAAAACCACAAUGCAAUACUACUUAUAAACUCACCAGAUGGGAUUAAUCAAAUAGACCAAUUGGACCAAGUGUUGGUAAAGAUGAGAAGAACUGGAACGCCACCCACACUGCAGACAGAAGUGUAAAAUGGUACUUUGGACAACGGUUUGGUGGUUUCUUAAAAAGUUAAAACAGGAGUUCCCGUCGUGAUGCAGUGGUUAACGAAUCCGACUAGGAACCAUGAGGUUGUGGGUUCGGUCCCUGCCCUUGCUCAGUGGCUUGAUGAUCCGGCGUUGCCGUGAGCUGUGGUGUAGGUUGCAGAUGCAGCUCAGAUCCCACGUUGCUGUGGCUGCAUCUCCGAUUCAACCCCUAGCCUGGGAACCUCCAUAUGCCACAGGAGUGGCCCAAGAAAUAGCAAAAAAAAAAGACAAAAAAAAAAAAAGUUAACACACACCAAUUUUUAAGUUUCAAGGGAUUGAAGUCAAAGUAAGUCUGAGGAACUGCUCCAGCCUGAAGAUCAAAGCACUAGGAUAACUAAAUGCAAGCUCGGAUAACAUGCCUGAUGAGCAGGGUCUGAAAAGUAGGAAGUAGCAGCAUGUCGGUGCUCACUUGCUGGUGGUGACAGCUAUGUUCUGGUCAUGCAGGAGUGUCCUGGUUUGGCAUUCUAGUGAGAUGAGCACUGUUCCAGCGAUUUACUCUCAAAUGAUUCAGGGGAAAAAAAACCUUUGUACUAUCCUUAUAAUAUUUCUAUACAUUUACGCUUGUUUAAAAAAUUUUGUUAAAUAUUUAGCAUUAAAAGUGUCUUUAGGAGUUCCCAUCGUGGCACAGUGGAAAUGAACCCAACUAGGAACCAUGAGGUUGCGCAUCUGAUCCCUGGCCUCAUUCAGUGGGUUAAGGAUCCAGCGCUGCCGUGAGCUGUGAUGUAGGUCACAGAUGCAGCUCAGACCCUGCGUGGCUGUGGCGUGGGCUGACAGCUGUAGCUCGGACUGGACCCCUAGCCUGGGAACCUCCCUCCACAUGCUGAGGGUAUGGCCCUAAAAAGCAAAAAAAAAAAAAAAAAAAAAAAGUGUCUUUAGAGGUCUUCCUAUCAUGGCUCAAUGGUAAAGAAUCCAACUAAUAUCCUUUGAACCCCGGCUUUGCUCAGUGGGUUAAGGAUCUGGUAUUGCCAUGAGCUGUGGUACAAGUCAGACACAGCUCGGAUCCUGAGUUGCUGUAGCAGUGGUGUGCACCAGCAGCUAAAGCUCCGAUUCAAAUGCUAGCCUGGGAACUUCCAUAUGUUGUGGGUAUGGCCCUGAAAAGAAAAAAAAAGCGUCUUUAACAGAAAAUAAAAUAAAAUAAAAUGCCCUGCCCUCUACACUCUAUACCAUUACCCCAUUUUGGUUUUCUUCAUGGCCUUAUCAGUAAGUGUAACGGUACUUGCAUGUGAUAGGCUACCUUCUCCACUGAAAAGUAAGCUCCUCAAAGGUCAGGACUACAUUUUGUUCACUCCUCUAUUCUAAGUGCCCAGCAUAGUGGCCAAUAGAGCGGUUAUUCAUAUUUGUCCAAUAAGUUAAUUUGUCUUAUAAUCAUUUAACAAAAAAUCAUUUACCAUCUCCUCCCCAAAAAAUCCACACACACCACUUAGCUUAUGAGCCAGCAACUCUACUGCAAAGUACCCAAGAGAAUAAAAACAUGUCCACAUAAGAACAUAUAUGUGAAUGUUCAUAGCAACAUUAUUCAUAAUAAACAAAAACUGGAAAUAUUCCAAAUGUCUAUUAUCUGGUAUAGACAUCCAAAUACUACUGGAUGACCAAAAAGCAACAAACUACUGAUCCUGGCAACAACAAGGAUGAAUCUUAAAACAUUUUAAGUGAAGAAAAAGCCCGAUUAAAAAAAAAAAAAAAAACCUUUGGAGUUCCCGUCAUGGCGCAGUGGAAACAAAUCCGACUAGGAACCAUGAAGUUUUGGGUUCAAUCCCUGGCCUUGCUCGCUGCUGUGAGCUAUGGUGUAGGUCAAAGAUGUAGCUCAGAUCUGGCGUUGCUGUGACUAUGGUAUAAGGCCAGCAGCUGUAGCUCCAAUUCGACCCUUGGCCUGGGAACCUCCAUAUGCUUUGGGUGAGGCCCCACAAAGCACAACAAAAACAAAAAACCUCUCAUCUCAAAUGAAUCUAAAGUCCUAAAAACAUGCAAAACAAAAAGCAGAUCAUCGGCUGCCAGAGGGGUGGGAGGGUGGUUGGGUGGGAGCAGGACCUGACUGCAAAUGACAGGAGUGAACUUUUUGGAAUGAUGGAGAUGUUCAAAAACUGGAUUGUGAU
rnacentral:lncRNA from 1 species